CGCCUCUUGAUUAAUAUAAGAGGUCCAGCCUGCCCAGUGACUCUGUUCAACGGCCGCGGUAUCCUAACCGUGCGAAGGUAGCGUAAUCACUUGUUCUUUAAAUGAGGACUAGUAUGAACGGCAUCACGAAGGUUUUACUGUCUCCUUUUUUUAAUCAGUGAAACUAAUCUCCUCGUGAAGAAACGAGGAUAAAUUUAUAAGACGAGAAGACCCUAUGGAGCUUUAAACUAUAUAUUAAUCGCUUAUUUUUUACUAAAUUUCAGAAUUUUACUUUUUAUUCUAGCCUUAUAGUAUCAAGUUUUAGGUUGGGGUGACCGCGGAGUAAAAAAUAACCUCCACAUUGAAAGGAUAUUUUCCUGAACAAAAAAUUACAAUUUUAUGCACCAAUAAAUUGACAUUAAUUGACCCAAUAUUUUGAUCAACGAACCAAGUUACCCUAGGGAUAACAGCGCAAUCUACUUCAAGAGCUCCUAUCGACAAGUAGGUUUACGACCUCGAUGUUGGAUCAGGGUAUCCUAGUGGUGCAGCCGCUACUAAAGGUUCGUUUGUUCAACGAUUAAAACCCUACGUGAUCUGAGU
rnacentral:rRNA from 1 species